rnacentral:rRNA from 1 species
GAUGAACGCUGGCGGCGUGCCUAAUACAUGCAAGUCGAGCGAACGGACGCGAAGCUUGCUUCUCUGAUGUUAGCGGCGGACGGGUGAGUAACACGUGGAUAACCUACCUAUAAGACUGGGAUAACUUCGGGAAACCGUAGCUAAUACCGGAUAAUAUUUUGAACCGCAUGGUUCAAAAGUGAAAGACGGUCUUGCUGUCACUUAUAGAUGGAUCCGCGCUGCAUUAGCGAGUUGGUAAGGUAACGGCUUACCAAGGGAAGGAUGCAUAGCCGACGGGUGAGGGGGGUAGCAGACAUGGGAGCGGAGACGCGGUCCAGAGUCCUACGGGAGGCAGCAGAAGGGAAUGUUCGGCAAUGGGGGAAAGCAUUACGGAGCAGGGGCGCGUGAGUGGUGACGGCGCUCGGAUCGUAAAACUCUGUUAUGAGGGAAGAACAGAUGUGGAAGGAACUGAGCAGAGCGUGACGGUAACGAAUAAGAAAGCCCCGGCUAACUACGUG